rnacentral:lncRNA from 1 species
AAGAGCAGAUGGGAAUAGUGACCAGUGGAUAAGUGAUUUCAAGUGUUCCCAGGCUCAGAUAACUCCAAGAGACAGACUCAUACCCCAUUUUAGAGUCAAGGUAAAGAGUUUGUGUUCAUAAAAAUAUUUAAAAAAAUAGAGUGGGGGGAGGGGGGGAGGAAU